CCCUUAGAUGUUCUGGGCCGCACGCGUGCUACACUGAGUGGAUCAGCGGGUCAGGUUGCGCGAAAGUGUUUCCUAAUCUUUAAAUCCGCUCGUGAUGGGGAUUGACGGUUGCAAUUUUCCGUCAUGAACGAGGAAUACCUUGUAAGCGCGGGUCAUCAUCCCGCGCUGAAUACGUCCCUGCCCUUUGUACACACCGCCCGUCGCUCCUACCGAUUGAGUGGUCCGGUGAGGCUUUGGGAUCGGAGCGGAAAGAGCGUUUCGCUGUUUCUGCCCGGAAAACUCAGUCGAACCUUAUCAUUUAGAGGAAGGAGAAGUCGUAACA
rnacentral:rRNA from 1 species